rnacentral:snoRNA from 1 species
UGAGCUACAGAAUAAGAUCCUGUCUCCACCACACAAACAUCAUGCAACCGAAGAAUAACUUGGGAUCAUAGUACUGGUCUAGUGUUGUGUGUCUGGGCAGAUUUCCCACUGACCAGCCUCCAAAUUCCCAGCCAUUA